CUGCAUAAUAAGACAAAGAGUAAAAAUAAGUAGCUUAAGCGUUGGAAACUGUGAAAGGCACAUAAGGAAUAUUUCUCUGUGGGGAUGACUUGAAAAUGAUGAAUCGACUGCAGUGAGGCAAAAUGGAAUGAGGAAACCAGCCAGAAGAUGUGCUGUCUUUCGUCCUGUGUGCACCUUUCUCCACUGCACGUGUGCUUUGGAAUACUGACUGGCAAAGACUGUAUGAAUCAGGAGGCCCCCUUGCCCUGUGACUUCCUGUUGAGUCUAGCCAAUGAGGAUACUGAUAGGAAAUCAGAGUGAAGCAGCAGAGUGAGGUUCUGAUUGAUGCAGAGGCUGUUGAAGUAGACCACACGAUUAAAGCAAGAGAGGGAGAUAGAAGUGGAGAUGGCGGCAACCUAUUAUACCUGGAUAUAUUUGGUAUACAAACAAAGAGACUCAAUGAUGAAUUGAACAAUGAAUCUGAAGGAAAAAGGAGAAAGAAAACACAAGUGUGCAGGUGUCAAUUGUAUACCAUCAUAGUACCAUCAAA
rnacentral:lncRNA from 1 species